AAAGGAUAUCUUCACUGAACUUGAACAAGUUCGAUCACAAGAAUUCCUUCACUAAAUCCACUCGAAAACUCUAAUUUUUAUCGAUGAAAAAUUCUGUCGACGUAGAAAAGCUUCAAGCCAUGAAAAAUUACAAGAAAUCCCAGUUUCUUUACAACUUUAUUCUAUACUCCCUCACUACUGUAAUUUCUUGUUCAUUUAUAUGUUAUCCUUUCUGGUUCCCCUCCAUGAACAGCCUCUCUUCAGUUUCUCUUCAAAACACUUUCUCCUUUUUCUUCACUGCCGAGUUUCUUUUCGUGGUCGGAAAUAUCAUCUUCAUCAUCCUCAUCAAAGAAUCUAAACAGGCAGCAGGCUCCAAUUUAUCUCCGGCGACGGAGAUUUAUGAUAAAUACGUUGCACGAAGUCACCGGAGUUACAUGGCGCCGGCACACUCCAAUUAUAUUCUUGCAAACAAGGAAGUACACGAGGAUAAAAUGGAAAACACUGAAGGUAAAAUAAUACAUAUGCAUUCAGAAAAGAAAAAAGAUAUGAAAAUAAAUUGUGGGGCUGAAACUGAUAUUGUGGUCAAGAGGGAAAAAGGAGGGAAAGAAGAGGAGAAUUAUAUACCUACUGAGGAAUUGAAUCGAAGAGUGGAGGCUUAUAUUGCAAGAGUGAACAGACAGAGAUUGCUUGAAGCUAAAUCAUUAGUGUGAAGAAGAGCGUGAGAGGUGGGGAUUUAGUGUAGGGAUUAUAAUGGAAAGUGGAAUAAUUAAUUAUGUUUUCUCAAUUCUCAAUAUAAAUUGUACUUAAAAGAAACUUUUCAAGUUAUUUUUAUGAGAUUGAUGUACUAACCUAAUGAUAUAAUGUCAUAUUCUACUCUUGGAUGUUAAUAAUUGAAUUUUUAUGAAAUUUUGAAUUUAGCGUUUAAGGGUCGAAUCUUGGAAAACAAAGAAUGAAGAUCUCACAACUCAUGCUAAUCGAGAAUCGAACUUCAAAAUCAAAUCAUUAAUAGCGAUAACAAGAAUUAAGAUCUCACAGCUAGUGACAAUCAACAAAGAGGACUCAUAAAUAAAUAAGUAAAAAGUCAUAGCAAUCACGAGAUUCGAGAAUCUACAACUCAUGACCAUUGAUAAAAAAAUUCUCAGCAAUCUUAUAGGUAAGGACAAUUUAUUCAAGUAUAGAAGAAAGAUUUAACACUUCUACAACGAUUUUAAAUUCAACCCUUUUGUGUACAAAUAUUGAAUGCUCACAAUGUAACACUUGUUUGAGAAUGAAAAAGUGAAUAAAAUUUUAUUUCAUUCAUAUAUGGCUUUCUCAUUUUUUUCUCUUAUACUAGCACGAGGGAUUUAAUACAUUAGACGUAAUUUUCAUUCAACCAUCAUAAUAGAUAGGGCUUAUUGAAAUUUUAGGAUUCGGUUGCUUAGAUCUUCCCGUAAAUUUCGUAUUCAUAAUUUCAUAAAGUAAAUUAUAUAACAAUUAUACAAUAAAUUAGUAUUUGAUUAAUAUAAAAUAAAAAAAAAAAAAAAAAAGACAGAAACUGGGGGGUCAAUUGACCCUGUAGGACUCCCCCUGUCCGCCUCUGUAUACAUCUAGUCUAGAUAACAUGUGACGUGUUGCAAGUUAUUUUUAUUAAAUUUAAAUUUCGCAUAGCACACCUAUUCAUUUCCCUUCAGGUGUUAAGUGGAUCAAAACAUCACGUUGUUUCACCUUGGACGGCAACUAGGGGAGAGUUGGAAAUCUUUUUGUUGAUUCGAGCGAUUGGCAGAUAGAAUGGGAGAAAUAUGGAGAAGACAUAAUGGGUGGACACAGAACUAUGGAGAAGACAUAAUGGGUGGACACAGAACUGGAAAGACCAAUAAAAAAAAAAAAGGUGGUUUGAUAUUGCAUUAGAUAGAUUCUCCUUAGAGAAUAGUGCUCUAACUUCAAGAAAAUAGAAUAAACACAAUGUUUAGAAGAGAAUUGAUAAUCCUUGUAUUCAUCAUUUGAUGCCCCAAUUAUAGUGUCUACACGAGUUUUAUACAGAGUGAAAUAUAAUUAGAGGAAACCAAAUUGACAAAUAAGAAUUAAUUACAUAUUUGAAUUUUGGUUUUGUUUUAAAUCCAUCACUAAACUUUCGAUUUUGUUCCAAAUUAAUCACCACGUUGAUGCUACAAUCAAUUUGAAUAAUGUAAAUAGUGUAAUUUUUUCCAUUUUAAUUAUUGAUUGGGUAAGUCACAUGGACAAAUUACAUUCUUUUUUUCAUAAUCGAAUUUCUUAAUCACUUAAUGAGAUUUCUCCAACUAAGAACGUUAAACCAAUGGGCAGAUAAAACUUUCAAGCUACAAAACCAUAUUUCAAUACCAUCUAAGAAUACAUUAAUCACUAGAUUGGAUGGAAAAUUGCUAGUGGUAGUUUACCCUAAACAAAACUUUUCUUCGAUAAAAAUUCAAGGAUUAUGCUACUUUUACAGAAAAAUGGUACAUAAAGGAAGAAUAAAAUGAUGUGAAGGAAAAAGAUUGGCUAAAAAAGUUGAUUGUAUAUUAAACUGACAAAUGAUAGAGUAAUAUGUAAUAUUAUGUAACUCAUUAUGUAAAACAUGAUGUAUAUGUAGCGAGGUCCAAAAUUCAAAACCAUCUGCUGAAUGGCUGAAAGGUGUAAAACCACCUCUUUAGCCUGCCACUACUUUCUCAAAAGGCAUAAGCACGAGCUUCAUAUCGAACCUUUUUUAUUUGCAAAAGAAGCAUGUGAAAAAUCCACUAAAAUAUCCUCCUUUCUUCGUCACUCCACUAUUUAAAGAGAUCAUACGUUCUUCCUCUGUGUUCUGUCCGAUAUGUGAAAGGAUAUCUUCACUGAACUUGAACAAGUUCGAUCACAAGAAUUCCUUCACUAAAUCCACUCGAAAACUCUAAUUUUUAUCGAUGAAAAAUUCUGUCGACGUAGAAAAGCUUCAAGCCAUGAAAAAUUACAAGAAAUCCCAGUUUCUUUACAACUUUAUUCUAUACUCCCUCACUACUGUAAUUUCUUGUUCAUUUAUAUGUUAUCCUUUCUGGUUCCCCUCCAUGAACAGCCUCUCUUCAGUUUCUCUUCAAAACACUUUCUCCUUUUUCUUCACUGCCGAGUUUCUUUUCGUGGUCGGAAAUAUCAUCUUCAUCAUCCUCAUCAAAGAAUCUAAACAGGCAGCAGGCUCCAAUUUAUCUCCGGCGACGGAGAUUUAUGAUAAAUACGUUGCACGAAGUCACCGGAGUUACAUGGCGCCGGCACACUCCAAUUAUAUUCUUGCAAACAAGGAAGUACACGAGGAUAAAAUGGAAAACACUGAAGGUAAAAUAAUACAUAUGCAUUCAGAAAAGAAAAAAGAUAUGAAAAUAAAUUGUGGGGCUGAAACUGAUAUUGUGGUCAAGAGGGAAAAAGGAGGGAAAGAAGAGGAGAAUUAUAUACCUACUGAGGAAUUGAAUCGAAGAGUGGAGGCUUAUAUUGCAAGAGUGAACAGACAGAGAUUGCUUGAAGCUAAAUCAUUAGUGUGAAGAAGAGCGUGAGAGGUGGGGAUUUAGUGUAGGGAUUAUAAUGGGAAGUGGAAUAAUUAAUUAUGUUUUCUCAAUAUAAGUUGUACUUAAAGAAACUUUUCAAGUUAUUUUUAUGAGAUUGAUGUACUAACCUAAUGAUAUAAUGUCAUAUUCUACUCUUGGAUGUUAAUAAUUGAAUUUUUAUGAAAUUUUGAAUUUAGCG
rnacentral:lncRNA from 1 species